rnacentral:RNase_P_RNA from 1 species
CCGGAAACGGAGAGGAAAGUCCGGACACCUCAGAGCAGAAUUCCGGCCGAAAGGCCGGGGGGCCGAAAGGCUCACGGAAAGUGCCACAGAAAACAGACCGCCGGGCGACCGGCAAGGGUGAAAAGGCGGGGUAAGAGCCCACCGCGGUUCGGAGCAAUCCGGCCGGCACGGCAAACCCAAUUCGGUGCAAGACAGCGUAAGGAGGCGGGUUGCUCGUCCGUUGCCUCCGGGUAUGUCGCACCCCGCAAGGGGGCGCGCGGGGAAGCCUGCGCGCAGAUAAAUGAAUGCUAUGGCGCAACGAACGCGGGGCGCCGAAACAGAAUCCGGCUUACAGUUU